rnacentral:misc_RNA from 1 species
AUAGAAUUGAAAGGGCAAAUUGGGCGAAAAUGGUGGCACUAUCACUGUACAAGGGAAAUCUCCACAGAGUACCUGAAACUCCACGGCGAUGGCUAGUGCCAACCCCCAAAAUCUCUCAUAAGGACUUCCAAUGUCUCCUCCGUCGCCGGUCCCGAGCCCUCUCUCGCCUCCAAAAUCCUCCCGAUGUCUCUCCUACCACCGCCACCGCUUCAAACCCUAACCCUAACCUCAAAACUGAUACCAAAUCCAAACCUGAGGAUGAGGUUCCUGUUUCGAUUCCAGUGAAGAUCGAGAAGGAGGAAGAGGAUGUUCGAGUGGAGAAUGUGAAAGAGCCGGAGAAAUUGGUUGAUUCAUCUGCUGUCGUGGUUGAACCUAAGCUUGAGGUUUUGGAAAACGAUCAGAAAUUGGAGGGUCAGGUGAAUCCCUCUGGUGUGGAGACUAGCAACAAAGAGGAUGCAACUGAUAAUCAGAAAAGAAAGGAGAUUGAGGAUAAAUUACAAGUUCUGAAUAUGAAAAAGCAUGGUUUGGUACAAUUACUAAAACAGAUUUUGAAUGCAGAAGAGGAGCUGAAGAGACGAAGCAUGCAAGGAAUGGCAGUGCGGCCAUCACCCCCACUUCAAGUGGAUACAACAAACGACACUGGAUCUAUAACUAAACUAAACACACCUAGAAUGGGCUUGGAUGGUAACCCCAUCGGUGAGGUGGAUGGAGAUGGAGGUGAUGAUGCAUCCAACCAGAACACACUUCCUCGGAAUUUGCUUCGUUUGAGCAGUACAUCACCAUCUUCAGAUUCUCAACUGAGGAAGACCCCCUAUAAUGUGGUUCCUCUCGCUUCACGAUCUGUUGGAGUUACUGUUAGUCCUUCACGGUUUGCACCUCCGGGACAGCAAGGGCAACCUUCAAGUCUCCCCCCAGUGUCCUUAUCUGGAACGAACAUUGUUGCCUCCUCUCCUUCUCCUGUAGCAUCAGGCGGCACUUCAGCAUUUCGAGAUCGGUUUGCAAGCCCAUGAAAAUGGGAGUUGUGCUAGUUGUUACUCCUCCUGUCAGCUGGCUUUCUGUUCUCUCAACCUCAUUCUAAGUUUCAACUGGCUAAUCUAUGAAGCUGUAAAUUAUUCUGUAGUUCCAAAUUGGUCAUUCGCUGUAACGGUAGCAGUGACGAUGCAGUGUCUUUAAGUCUGGUGCCUUCUAGUUGGAAGUAUAGUAUUUCCGUUAAUCUGGCUGGGUGUGUGUCCAUCCGAUACUUGUGAAGUUUCCCAUGGUCAUGUUUUUAGUUCUUAAAAGAUGUUAGAACUGAAUAUCCUAUGUACAUAUAUUAUGCCAUUUUGCUUUUAAG